GACGAACGCUGGCGGCGUGCUUAACACAUGCAAGUCGAACGGUGAAGGGACCAGCUUGCUGGUUCUGGAUGAGUGGCGAACGGGUGAGUCACACGUGAGUAACCUGCCCCCUUCUUCUGGAUAACCGCAUGAAAGUGUGGCUAAUAAGGGAUAUUCUGGGUCUGUCGCAUGGUGGGCCCGGGAUAGGUAUUGCUUCGGUGGGGGGUGGGCUCGCGGCCUUUCAGCUUGUGGGUGGGGCGAUGGCCUACCCGGGCGGGGCUCGGGAGCCGGACGGCGGUGGGGGGCGGUCAAGGGGGGACUGAGACACGGGCCAGACGCCUACGGCAAGAAGCAGUGGGGAGGAUUGCACAAGGGACACAAGCCUGAUGCAGCGACGCCGCGUGAGGGAUGGAGGCCUUCGGGUUGUAAACCUCUUUCGGCAGUGAAGCAGGCCUGCUCCGUGUGGGUGGGUUGACGGUAGCUAGAUAAGAAGCGCCGGCUAACUACGUG
rnacentral:rRNA from 1 species